ACAAAGCAAACAGGGAAAAGCAAAGGACUGAAAAUCCUCGUGUCC
rnacentral:tRNA from 1 species